AUGCAACGCGAAGAACCUUACCAAGGCUUGUCAUACUACAGAUUUCUUUGAAAGAGAAAGUGCCUUCGGGAAACGGGAGACAGUUGGUGCAUGGCUGUCGUCAGCUCGUGUCGUGAGAUGUUGGGUUAAGUCCCGCAACGAGCGCAACCCUUAUUUUUAGUUGCUAAUUUAUUUUAGGUUUUCUAGAAAGACUGCCGGUGACAAACCGGAGGAAGGUGAGGAUGACGUCAAGUCAGCAUGCCCCUUAUGCCUUGGGCUACACACGUGCUACAAUGGUUAAGACAAAGAGUUGCGAGCUCGUGAGAGUCAGCGAAUCUCAUAAACUUAGCCUAAUUUCGGAUUGUAGGCUGCAACUCGCCUGCAUGAAGUCGGAAUCGCUAGUAAUCGCUGGUCAGCCAUACAGCGGUGAAUCCGUUCCCGGGCCUUGUACACACCGCCCGUCACA
rnacentral:rRNA from 1 species